ACGCUCGACACCUACGGGAGGCAGCAGUGGGGAAUAUUGCACAAUGGGGGAAACCCUGAUGCAGCGACGCCGCGUGGAGGAAGAAGGUCUUCGGAUUGUAAACUCCUGUUGUUGGGGAAAAAGAGGAUGGUACCCAACAAGGAAGUGACGGCUAACUACGCGCCAGCAGCCGCGGUAAUCUGAGGCGGGCUGGCAAGGC
rnacentral:rRNA from 1 species